rnacentral:miRNA from 1 species
CAUGGCGUGCAAAACCCCACGC